CACGUAGGAGGCGAACGUUAUCCGGAUUUAUUGGGCGUAAAGCGCGUGUAGGUGGUUCUGUAAGUAGGGCGUGAAAGCUUCUGGCUCAACCGGGAGAGGCCGUUCUAUACUGCAGAGCUAGAGGAUGGUAGAGGGAGGUGGAAUUCCAGGUGUAGCGGUGGAAUGCGCAGAUAUCUGGAGGAACACCAGUGGCGAAGGCGGCCUCCUGGACCAUUCCUGACACUCAGACGCGAAAGCUAGGGCAGCAAACGGGAUUAGAUACCCCCGUAGU
rnacentral:rRNA from 1 species